rnacentral:lncRNA from 1 species
UGAGGAGGCGCCGUUGUGUAGAGGGAAACGGCAGCGAAAGCUGCUGCGGUAGAGGAAGAUGCAGCAGUUGCGACAGCUACUGGCCGGAGAAGUGCAGGAGGCGGCUGCUGUGAUAGAGGAAGAUGCAGCAGUUGCGACUGCUAUUGGCCAGAGAAGUGCAGGAGGCGGCUGAUGUCUUCUCUGGUGCUGCCCAACGUGGGGCUGAAGGACCACGUUGUCCUUCUGGCGAAGAAGAAGGAAGAGGAAGGUGCAGCAGUUGCGACUGCUACUGGCCGGGAAGCGAGGAAGACACCGUUGUUCGCCGUUCACUGCUAUUGAGGAGAGAAUGUUUUCCUCCUUGCGUGAUGGCGACGGAGAGUGUCUGCUGUAGGCAGCAAAUAGGAGAGGGAGCAAGGCCGGCGAAGAAAAGCAAGACCGGUUAGCACUGGCUUUGAAUCCGUGUCUUGGUGCUUCUUCAAUGACUCCGCUUGAGGCAGCGUGCUACUGUGGCCGCUUGGCUAACACAUGGCGAUGCUGCUGUCGCCAAGAGGAGCUGCUCUGAUACCAUGUUAAAAUAAAGAGAUAAAUGAGUUGUUGAAGAAGAAGUUGAAUGUUAUUGACAUAUCCUCCGUCUUUAUAUACAGGUUAGAAGGAGAAGUUUCCUCAACGGGUUAGAGGAUUUCCCUCAACAGAGUAGAGAGAUUUCCUCAACAGUUAGGGAAAUCUCAUCUACUUAUCAU